CAGAAUCUAGUUGAGAAACCCCAAUCUAUCGUGAACUAUCCGCAGAAUCGCUUCGCCCCUGCUGACGAUGACCUGGAAGCUAGCUCUGGUUUAGCAUAUGCAUAUGAAACAGCACAGCUCACGCUAAACGCUCCUGCGUCAAGCUUUCUUGCUGGACACUUUACCUCUAGUGGCUUAACUCCUGAAGCAGGUAUUUUAUGCUUUUCUGCUGGAAACGUC
rnacentral:misc_RNA from 1 species